rnacentral:lncRNA from 1 species
CGGUAGACACUAAGACUUUAUUCAUGAUGUUGAACUGUGUAACCAUCUCAUUUAAAAGUUUCAUGCGGUAGAGAGGGCAUACUUUUAAUUUCUUAGUUAUAUGCUAGGUAAGGUUGCGUACAAUACACUCUUGUAGUGGGGCCCUUCCCCGGACCCUGCGCAUAGCGGGAGCUUUAGUGCACCAUGCUGCCCUUUUUUUUUUUUUCUUAUGAUAGUCUCAACAUCCUCUCAGGUCCACUUGAUUUUUUUCUUCUUGAGCUAAAAAAUGGAAAUACUUCUUACUUAUUUCUUCUUGUGGUAGUGAGAUUUGAAGCUAGAACUUCUGUCUGCUCCAAAAUCAUGUUGAAUUGUGUGACAGUCUCUUAUACCACAUUAAAAUUAAACAUGAUAUCGGAUCUCAACAUCCUCUCAGGUCCACUUGAUUUUUUUCUUCUUGAGCUAAACACAUGGAAAUACUUCUUACUUAUUUCUUCUUGUGGUAGUGAGAUUUGAAGCUAGAACUUCUGUCUGCUACAAAAUCAUGUUGAAUUGUGUGACAGUCUCUUAUACCACAUUAAAAUUAAACAUGAUAUCGGAUCUCAAACGUCUCAUUUGGGAAAUGAUGUUCUUGAAAAUACACUACAGGUCAUGCAUUUACUAAGCCACAACACCUCUUAAAACUAAAAUACAGAUGACCUAAGUUGCUCGGACCCGCCAAAAAUGCUGCCGAACCCAUGUCGGAUCCUCC